AUAGUUCCUGGCAGGGGAGAUGCCAUGAUCACGAAGGUAGCUCUCCCAGGGCGAGGCUCAUCCAUUGCACUCCAUAUGUGCUGACCCCUGCGGUUUCCCCAAAGGUGGGAAACUCGACUGCAAGU
rnacentral:snRNA from 1 species